GUCCUGAGGAGCCAUGAUGUCUCCAGGAGCUGGGUAAAGGGCACAGGGAUCAGCCUCUCAAAGGAUUCCAGCCAGCUGUUCCAAUGCAGGAGGAAAACUGUGCCACCGAAGUCUCCCAGCACCUGGUCAGUGAAGUGCCACUUAACCCCGCUGUGAUGCACAGACCUUGCCCUGGCUGGCUGCACAGGGCUGAAUUUCACCCCGUCAGAGCGUAUUCUAAGGGUCCCCCGUGCAUCAUAUGGGCAUUCUUGAGUGUGCAGAUUGCAUCAGACCUGCACCUGAAUAAUUAAUAGUGACUGAAAUAUGCAGACACUAAAGUUCUGCAGCCAAAUUCUCAGAAACCUUCCUCUUCAAUGUAAGAUCA